rnacentral:rRNA from 1 species
GACGAACGCUGGCGGCGUGCUUAACACAUGCAAGUCGAACGAAGUGGCGAACGGGUGAGUAAUACGUGGGUAACCUGCCCUCCUUUUUGGGAUAAGCCUUGGAAACGGGGUCUAAUACCGAAUAAAGGGGGAUGGGCUCGCGGCCUAUCAGCUAGUUGGUGGGGUGAUGGCCUACCAAGGCGGGGACGGGUAGCCGGCCUGAGAGGGUGACUGGCCACAUUGGGACUGCGAUACGGCCCAGACUGCUACGGGAGGCAGGAGUGGGGGAGAUUGCACAAUGGACGAGAGCCGGAUGCAGCGACGCCGUGGGGGGGAUGAAGGCUUUCGGGUUGGAAACCUCUUUCGAUAUCAAACGGGUAGGUGGAGAAGAAGCGCCGGCUAACUACGUGCCAGCAGCCGCGGUAAUUC